CCCCCCUUCAUUCUACUGCAGCUCCAACCGGAGCAAGGAGAGGGCGUCUGUUCCACAAAGGUUUGCAAAAUAAAAUUAAGAAGAAGAAGAAGAAGAAGAGGAAUGUAAUAACCGAGCGGUGGCGGAGAGGGGAAUCUGCAAUAACGUUGCAAAGCGUUGCACGCGCUGCGGGCCGCGCUGGGAGCGGCGGUUGUGCUCCGUCAUUGCCGGGGCUGCAGGGCGGGCACGCGCCGCUCCCCUCGCGCUCAGCCCCGCGCCGUAGCAAAGUCGCGGCGGAACGGCGUGCGCUGCUCCCUUCGGACGAGCAGUCUUUAUUUUGUAAUCCCACAUCCCGUGGGUUGUGAUAAUCCGAGAGCCCAAUCUCCUCCUCCUGUUUUGCACUUGGAGCGAUGUGCCCUGGGACACAUGGAACGAUGUGCAAAUCGCUCAUGGAAAAAGAGGGGAUGGAUGAAGUCAGGCUGUGAAGGACCGCAUCCAGCAGCAGACCUCCCCUGGCAGAGGCUCUCUUGCUCCCUUGGCUGGGACGAAGUGCUGUGGCUGCAGGCAUAUGGGGCACACUGAGACAAACCGAGCAGCUUUUUGAGAAUGUCCUGAGACCCUUGGCAAUGGAGAGAGAUUGCAGUGCAAGCACUUUUCUGGAUUACUCUGUCACCGAUGUCAAAUCAAAGCAUCAAGGAUAUAAAUCUUCAGUAAACAUCUGGCCUCACUUCAGCCAGGUUAUGCAAUGCCUCAAGUACAUUCAGCAGCAGAUUAUGCUGCGUUCUCCAUUUGUGCAAUGCAAGCUAAUGUGAAUAUCAAGUCACAUCAGUGGUCUAGACAAGUAGUUGGGAGAUAAAGACAGCAACCCAAAGCGGGAAGUUUGGCCUCUCAGGGCACGUCAAGGGAAAACUGACAUGUCACUGAAGACCCAGAAAGAAAGAAUGCCAGAGAAGAGGUAAAUCAUAGAAAAGCCUAAGCAUCACCUCUGCUCAGAUGGAAGAAGAAAAAAAGAAAAAAAAGCCAGACCCAAACCUUGCCCACCUGGGCAUCCUGCGUGGGAUGGAAUCCAGCCCUGCACUGCCCAGCAAUGGGUCUCCUCCCUGCUUUGUGCAAAGGAAGAUUAAGCAGAAGGGAUAAGAAAAGACAGGGGAAAAAAAUGCAUUUCUUUGCAGUAAACACAGCCUGCAGCCAUCGGUUUCUCUCAGCAUUGGAUGGCAAUUAUUUCUGUGUAAUAAGCAGUCACCCGAUGACCCUCCCCUUCAGCUUGCAACGCUUCUGCUGUCAAGUGUUAAUCCCUUUGUUAGCUACUCAGCUGCACAUUCAUUUAGGAGGACUAAUGACUUACACUGUUCCUUCUCUGCACGAUUUCAGCAGACGUGUAAUUAGAGGUGAAUGGCAGCUUCAGAGGUAUGGCUACCACUGGGGCCGGGGGCAAAGUCAAAGUGUUUGUCUGAUUUCACCAUGGGCUGUUUCAGUGAGUGAAACCAUGUGGGCGGCUGCAUAUGGGGGGGAAAGGAAGUAGGAAAGGAGAAGCCAAAAAAAAGGGAAAGGAUAAGAGUCAGUUGUUGGGCAUUUAGGGAGCUCGGAUGUGAAAAGGAACGUGUUUCCAAAUAUUUCUUUGUUGGGGUGUGAGACUGAGCUGAAUGCCAGCGAGGAGCCUGUUGGCACACAGACUGAGAAGGUACCGAAAGGGUGAAAAGCUUUGUUUCAAAGUGCUGGAGAUCCGUAGUCGUUAGCAGAGUGAGUGUGAGAGCCAGAAAGUGAUUAAAAAAAAGUAUUUUGAAGGUGAGCUGAGGAAGUGCUCGCGUGCCUCCGCAGUGCCUUACAGAAUACAGCCUCUAUUUUUUUUUCUAAGUGAAAGCCAUCGAGGUCUGCAACACCUUGAGAAACAUCCUGUGGCUCUUACACCAUGGGAAGAUGUCCUUUUGAAGUGCAAGUGAAUCCCUGCGUAUGUAUUAACAUCACAGGAUGCAGUAGAAAAGUAUAACAGGGAGCUGAGGUUCUGAUGGAUUUCAGGUAACAACAACAGAAAAAAGCCACAAAGAACCCCAAACCUCUUAGCUCUGAUUUCUAUGCAUUGACAAAGCACAGCUUCGCUGAGCUGCAGCGCUGCUCCCUGUCCUUGCAGCUGUUGGGGCUGAGCCGCAUCCCAGCAGUGUGCGGUGGCCGCUGCUUUUGGUGCUGCAGCGCAGCAUCCCCGGGGCAAUGGACUUCUGCUCUGUCCCAGCAGCAGCGCAGCAUCUCGCAGCUCCCACAGCUGCAUAUUGUCCCCUGCUUUCCCUUUCUUGUUCUUUUUCUUUUUUUUUUCUUUUUGAAAGCUUACCCUGGGUUUUGCUCAGCCCUGUCUCCUCCCAGCAGUGUGCCUGCAGCCCAGGGCUCCCUCCUCUUGUCUCUUCUGGAGUGCGCUGUCUCUUUCCUUCACCCCCCCCUUGUGCAGACGCACAUCAGUGGCUGAUACAACAACUGUGUUGAAGAACAGCCACUUCCAUUCUCUUGGUUGGUUGGGAGGUAAGCAGAGUGCUAGUUCUAUGAAUUAAGAUAACACACCUGCACCAGCGCUUUGAAUUCAGGGGCAUCAUUUCAUUAAAAAUGACGAAACAGAAUAAAUCAAUAACUAAUUAAAAAUGGCUUUAAUUCAGUCUAGGCUUAUGAUCUAAUAUCUCACACAGUUGUCUAAUACAAUUAUAAACGUAAUUUCAUGCCUAAUGAAAUAUAAAUGAAGCAAAAAAGAACAGCAGACUCCAAAGAAACUUCUCCAUCAGUUGCCUUUGUGGCCCCUCCACCCUACCUGCAUCUCUGUCCCAUCUGUUAGGAAGCGAACAGCCAUCACGAUACAGUCUUAUCACUCAUACAAAGCCUUAUUAUUUCUCUGGUCUUCCCCUGCGAAGCGCUGAAGAGGAACUCGAGCAGCCUCAGAGAUGACACACGUUGGGCUUCCAUCUCCCCAGCAAUGCAGCCGUGUCGCCACUGUUGCUGUGCAGCCGGCAGGGACAGGACAUGGUGUGGCUGACAGCCCUGGGGAUGAGGACAUCCAGUUCUGAGGGACUUGCGGUCUGCUGGUAAGCAAACACACUGUCUGGCAGUGCUCAGUGGUGUCCUUCUGAAAAACCUUGUGUGCAAUUACAUGGCUCACAGCUACACACAGGUAGAGCCGGGUGAACACCAUUUCUCAUCUAUGUAUUCCAAGAGCAUCAGUGGUGCCCAUCCUCACUGUAUGCCUCCAGCAUGGGAGGGAGAGGAUUAAUUAAAUGGACCUCAGAACGCUGCCUCUGCUUGCCACCCUUCGUAUGUCUGAACUGGAGCCCAUCAGUCAGCCUCUGUUGGUGCCGAUGGAACACCCGGGCAGCACUCGGGACAUCAGACAAACCUGUGGGAGGGGAAGACAGUUACAGUCUGAUUUUUGGAUGCUUGAGGUGAAGAAACAGGCUCUGCCCGUGCAGUCACAGAUGGUAAGGCUGUAGGGUUUUAAAAUACACACUAAAUCAGUAUUCUGUCCUCUCUGAGGCGAGUGUGUCAGCAGCGUGUAGGAAACGUGACUGGGAACUCUAGGAUGUCACUGCAUACUUUUAAAAGCCUUCUGGUAAGAAGUUGCCAAAAGCAUAUGGUCUCUAUUAAUAAGGAUAUUUAGCAUUUUUCUUCCUAAUUUAUUCACGGGUAAUUAUUUGCUUACCUAGCUUGAAGUGGGCUGGAAUCCAGCUCUUAUCUGUUGUGGAAAGCUGUCACACUUCGCUCUGCCUUUCUCCAGCCCUCACUUGAGAGCAGCUAUGCAUCUGGCCAAGCAAAGCUGCCCUGCUCCUUCUCUCUUAUAAUAAAUCAGAGUCUUGCCUGGCCAUUACAAACUUUAGUUUCUAAAAGCGGUGUGAAAAGUACUUUUCAAAGUACUGUGACAGUAAGAAAUAGAUUCGGCUGCUCCUCCUGUUGGCUGCCUGCUCCCUGCCAGGACAGCUGGCUCUUUCCAGGUCUGUGCCCACAUCACUGCAGUGCCAGAACAUCACCUAACCAACGCUUCAGAGACUCCGUUUUGUCCCACCUCUUCUGUUGCUGCGUUCAAAUGUUAAAGAAAAUACAAAGGAAAAAAAACACCUCCCUCAGAAGUUCUCAUCAAAGGUUUACUGGUCAGAGCCCGGGCUCUGUCUCAAAACUCUGCUGCUGUUCUUUCUAUGCGUAUCCUUCUUUCACUGCUCCCUGCAGUAAUCAGAAUCCCAAAUGCCUUCUUUCUGAUGAGGAUUAAGCCAUGACCUGCACAUGAUUGCAGGAAAUAAGCCUUUAAAAUAUGCCCAAAUGCACCGCUUGUUUGAAGUCACUGAUCCUUAAAAUAGAUGUCUGAAAAAAUGUGUAAUUUCAAAUGCUUCUGCAGAUAUUGUUCCAGUAUGUGUAACAAGGGGUCGCAUCGAGCCAACUUACAUCAGUUGUGCUCCAUUAUAUCACGAACUGAGCAAAUGGAUCCAAAUAUACAGUAAUACUUCAGCUGCUAAUGAAAGCCUUGUACAGUUCCUUUCUCUAGAUACCUCUAGCGAGAUGGUGAGAAAAUACCUGACUUCUUUCUUUUCUUUUUCAGGGACCUUAUGAGAUAUUGGUCAUGAAGUGCCAUCAUGGAAACCUCUGCAGGAAGCUCAAGCUUCAGGAAUCCUAAGGUACUAACUGUCAUUUAUAGGUCCUGUUCCUCUCGCUGGUGAAGCUCUUUUGCUAUCAUUUGAUAUAUCGAAUACAUGGAUAGUAGUAGAACAGUAUUGUUGCCUCCUCAGUCUCAAGGCAAAACAUAACUUGGUCCUACUUAAUAUUAAUUUAAUGUUAACAAAAUCAAGAUAAGUUCAGAAGUUUCACCUUGACUGAGGUUCUCAGCUCUCAUGCUUGUGUGCAUACAAACUGCUGAGAAAAACAUUUCAGGCUUUUCCACAGCGAUGAUCAAAGAAAAAUCACAAAUGCAGUGGACUUCAAAGCAAAGGGGCAAUGGCCCAGCCUUCACUCAGUCAGUGCGCACAAAAUGGAAGGGCCCAUUACCUGUAGAUGGGAGAGGAGCAGAGCUAAGCCGCAGGUAGGUUUGUAUUUGAUAUCAUCUACUGACAGUGACGGGUCACAGCAUUGCCACAGCUGAAGGCUGUUGAGGGCCACCACAGAGCCUCCCAGCAGCAGUUCAGAUGCUGCAUGCUAUUUAUUUGCGUGCAAUUGGAAUCCACCCUACUAGUGUGCAUCGCUGACAGAUAGGAGGAAAGGAUUCACUGCAAGCACUGAGCCAGCACCGACAAGCUGGGAGGUGAAAACUCAGGAGCUUCACUGAAGGCAGCUGAAGCCUCCACUGCUGCACAUUGUGGUGCCUGCAGAGUCACAGAGAAAUAAAUCUUGGUUAAAUUUUUGAUGAGCUUUCAGCUGCUGUAAAUAAUUAACUAGGGCCUCUCUCGUUUGAACACGGGUGCAACUUUUCAUGUUUCAAACGCUUCCUGCCUCAGUCCCAGGGGAUUGCUCAAGUAAUUCAGGUCAUUCUUUCUUUUAUUUAUUUGCAGCAUCACCGGUCCAAACAAAUUUUGAACUUUCAAGCUGGGAAGGGAGAAAGCAUUUUCUUCUUGAUUUUACUCCAGGUAAAUCCCCAAGGGAGCACGUGUCUCAUUUGCAGUAGUUGAAUAAUAGAGAUUGAUGGGUUAAUCAGUUCCCAUACCAUUUAUGGAGUAAUGCUGUGCGCUCAUAGAUGAAGUCUUCAUGUUUCUCAAGUCUGCUGUUUCAAAGAUGAGAGCACAGGACAGCUUCAUACAGACAGAUGCACUAAGGAGAGCAUCCCUGUGUGUCCCCCCCAGCUAAAGCACAUUGGGCUGAUCCCGCUUUUGACAGUGCGAGUACUGAAGUCAGUCCUGCAUCACCACCAGGUAAGCAGCACAAAAAAUGAGGUCUGAAGAACAACUGAUUUGUCCCUUCAUUAGGUGUCAAAAGGAGCUUGGAUAUUGUUUUAGGUGGAAACUCAUGCAUAGAUGAAGUGGGUGUAAACUGUAUUAAAUAUUGGAUUCAAACUCCAGAUUAGGGGUUUUGAUGUCCUAUCCCAAGACUUUAAUGUCUAAAUUGAACUACUAAAAUAGCUCCUUCCUCAGGACUCCAUCCUGUCCCGCUUAGUUCUAUACCCACACACAACAGGUCACCUACCACUACUGUGGUCUGAGGCUGAUUUGGAUUUACUGCAGUGUCAUACUUUCUGUUUCAAUGCCUAUUGAGUAUGAUUUAUUACAAUGACAGACCACGCUACUGUUUGCAAUGCAGGCCGAAUUCAUUCCCACUUUUUAAUACAGUUUCUCACAUCAUCUCCAGCAUUUGAGAGAAUGUAUAUUUAUUUUAAUCACCGUGUACUGAAUAUGUAAUUUUUUUCCUAGGUAAAAUUUCCCUUUAAUAGAGGCUGGGUUAUGACAGAGCAAUUAUUUGAGUUAUGUGCACAUUACAGAAUAAUUUAACAUCAGCUUUUGGGUCAAUCUUUUUUAAUUAUCUAUUUUAUCAACUGGUUUUGACUAGCAGUUUAAAUAAUUGUGUUUGCCUAAUAUCUGGAAAUCUAAUUGCUUUUAGACAUCCUUUAUUCCAAUCCUGGUGUUGUUACCGUCUUGCAUACGGUGCAUGUUGGCACCUGUCUGUGCAGUGACAGAUUUGUGGUGACAGCUUAUAUAACUUAUUUAUAAAAUGAUGAAUUAUUUUUGAAUUUAACUUCAAGUUCACAGACUGGAAAAGUGGAGAAACACCUGCUUGCUGCAGAGGAUCUGCUAAGGAAGUCCAAAGGGAAACUAUGCACAGAGGGGAAAAGCACAGGCCAAGUGAAACAGAACCAUGUGGGUCAUCGUUAUGCUGUUCCAGGUAGGACUGUGGAUACCAAAGCAGGGAUGGGGUGACGGGGCGACCAAAGGAACAAAGGAACAGGCCCACAACCACAACAUCAUAGCAGGAAUUUUACUUACCUUCAGCCUCAAGAGGACAGAGAUUGAGGGGAAUGACAAAGAGAAACAAAAGAUAGGAACUUGUUCCGGGACAAAGGGAUGUUACUAUUUAUGAACCUGCAAGAGAAUUAGAGCUGAAAUACUUAGACAGAAAAAAAAAAAAAAAAAAAGAGAUUUUAAUUAAUGGUGAUAACUCUUAGAAAAAGAACCAGAUUGCCAGCCCUGAAAACUGCCAAUUCUUUUUAUCCACAAUGUAUACACAACCUUGGGGAGGCUGCUGCUAAGAGCCCCAGCACAGGACAUUGCCCUGAGCUUAGAGAAGUCCAACAUCUCAGUGGUCACACACUUUGGCUUUUGCUGCAGCUGCACUUUACAACAUGAGUAGCUGUGCACUACAUCAAUUCCAUGAUACAAUCAGAUCCAUUGACAUGGACAAUUUGUCCCUAAUGACUUGAGUCAGCCUACAAAGGUUACCAAGAAUCACAAAUCCUACUCAGAUAAACGUAGAGUAGCACAGGUCCCAUUCAAGGACCAAACCUAAGGAAGUCAUGGUAAAUGGAUUACCAAGCCCUUCUAAUACCUAGGGACAUUCUUAUUUAAAAAUAAACUAUAAAAAUAAAGAAAAAUGACUCCUCAUUCAGAUCAAGUCAUUUUGGUUAAAUUCCUAUUAUCCUGUUUAAACAGCAUCCUUUUAUCCCAGUUUUGAGGAGCAUCAUAUCUGUGGGGGCCACAAGGCACAGAAUUUGGCAAAGCAGCAACUGCAGAAUUUCUUCCUGAGUUAGAAGAGAGGGGGAGGGAUUGUUUUUUUUAGUUGUUAAUACAUUCUGGAGCAAUGAGGUGUUAGCAGAAGCCUUUCACCAUCUCCCUCGACAUCCUGUUCCCCACCCCUCUGCAGCUGGAUGGGAACUCACCUCCCAGCAGUUCUAGGCAGACAGACUGGGGUAACAAAUCCCCUGGUAGAAAGAAAUGCAAUCUGACUGAUCCCUGAAAAUGUAAUUUCUAGUUCACGGGGGCUAACAGAUGCAGGUAGCUCAAGCUAAAGCAGAAGGGUACCACCUCACCACAGCUUUCUUACGGGAUGGAAAAGCAGUGAUCUUUACUACUAGAGACUGAUAUUGCAUAGAUUAAGUCAAAUGUAUCAACUUCGCUUUAACAUGAGUGUUUCUAUUACCUGGGUCAGAGAGUCUGUGCAGUCACUCUCCAGAACCCGCUGUUAUUAAUUCAGCAAUUAUAGCUUUAUGGUGGCAGGGAUUCCUCGGUGUUUGAGCUGGCGCUGGAAAGCUGUAAUUCUGAAUGGAACAUGACAUGAAUUACUGGAUUGCUGUAAUUCUUCAGCUUUUCAUGCAUUUUCACUGCAUAUAUUAAAAUACAGCAAGCAAUUCACUUUUAAUUAUGUAAAUUCCAAGACAGUAAGACAAGAGAUGGAUGAGUUUUUAAAUGCCUGCUCUGCCUGACCACCUGUGGCUAGCACAGAAAGCCAUGGGCUCAGCAGGUCACCCUGCCCUCCGCACUCCUCCUCUCCCGGCUGUGCACAACACCGCCUCUUUUUAGUAUUCAGCGGUACUUCGAGAGCAAAGAGCACAGGAAAGAAAUGGCCAGAGGGGGGCUGGGAAAAGUCAGAUCCUGUCCACCUGCCUCCCUCACUUCUCUGGGUUUCCAAACAGACGAUACAUCACUGUUCUGACAUCAACAUAAGACCGCAAGGGCUGCAGAUAUUUACUGCUCUCUUAUUUGGCAAUUAUCUUCUCAAUGUUGAGAUGUUAUUAACAACUUCACCAGAAUAUAUGAGUCAGGAUCAUAAUUCUACAGCUCUAUGCCUGGCUUCUUUGCUGCUCCUUAGCAAAGCUCAUGGCUGCAACCAGCAGCACGUCCAUGCACAAGUCUGUGCAGUUAUUGUAAAGGAGAAAUAGGUUACACUGUUCUCAAAGACAUUGUUUUUAAACUGUAAGAUUCUGAGUGCAAGUAAUGAUGGCUUGUUAAAAGUCUAGUGACUGUAUCUAAUAGCUGCAGUGUUUGGCGCUGUAAUUACAGUAGCAAGAGAUUGCUGAGCACGUGUAAAAAAGGAAUAAUUGGGGUAGCAGCAACGCAAAAGCUUCUCUGGGCCUAAAGCAACUGUUAUUUUGCCCUCCUACUGAUGUGCCACUUAACGAAGCUACAAUGGUUGGAAACGAGCUCUCUUUGCAGUUAAGUUGGGUGUUUUCUGUUUAGGAGCCCUACGGUUUCACCCCCAGUACCUCCGCAGCUCAGGACGCAGAGGUAAAAUUACACAAACGCUUAUUGCCUUGCCCUGCGAGAAUACAUCUGCCUCUCCUCCCUAGACGCCAGGGAGAACUUUCAAGCAAGCAAAUUAGCAAUGCAAAUCUACAGCGACCUCUCCGAGGAGAGAGCACUGCUGUGCUCUGUUCUUCACGUUAGUAUUUCCAACCCUGGUGGACACUUUCCAUUUUCUCUAAUCUCUUCAUCCUCUUUUCCCCACCUAGGGACGUUUCUUUGCUCAUCUCAGUCUCGCUUCUCUAAAGGUGGUUUCUUGCAGCUUCAUCAGCAGCUAUUCUGUCUGCUGGAGUCUUCUGCUGCUUUCCUGUGUGCCUAUUGCAGAACUGCAAAAGAACACCAUCUUCCUGAAGUAGUAGAUGGAGUGCGUUUCCAUCCUGCUCUUGGCAUUGCUAUUACAAGCUUCACUUGGAUGUGGCAUGUGCCCCCAAACCCUGGAAUUCAGCCUCAUCCCCAAGCUUUUUGAACCUCUCUGCUCUGUUCUGGCAUACCUAUUGAUCACAUCUAUAUAUCUAGCCAGAAGCGAACCUUACCUUCACCCCUAAAGCUCCUGCAGAAACCUCACUUGUUUGUUAGUCAGCUGCUUUCCUGGGUCACUGCGGGUCUUUUCUAAAAAUCGUGUGCAAUUUUACCACUCGCUGAGCAAAGAACAGAACUACCUGCCUUCCUUCUUUACCUGCUUUGCUUUCACAGAGCAAUGCCUUUCUGGGCAGGGAUGCUACUGCAUCAGGCACUUACCAACAAGUAUCACCAUGUUCCCUACUUCUACUCCCAAGCCAUCGCAUGACUUCUCUCAGUCUCAGCGUGAGACAAGCCUGAUUUGAGCCAACAAAACAUCCGAACACAUGUUCCUCUAUGAAUUCAUCAGCAGAAAAGGCUGAGACCCCAGAACUAAACAACUGUGGUACUCUUCCCACUGCAGUAGGAAAAGUACCUCUUGCUCAUUGUGAGCAGUCGCUGGAAACUUUUCUACGUUCCAGUACACAACAGGAAAAGCAGACACUGUGUUUAUAACCAGAAGGAAAAGAAGAGCGCAAAAGGAGCUGCUGGCUGUGGGACUGAGGGAGUUCUUUCAAAGUAUAAAACGAAGCACAAGACUUGUGCAGAUCCUUCUGUAUCCUGCCGUUGUGUAGCAAUGGCAGUUGCAACUCUUAACAUUAAUUCUGCAAUACACAUCUACUGCUGGUUCCACCAACCAAAGACUGUGUAAAGAUCACCUUGCAAUGAGAAUCAGUUUAGCUCCAUUUAUUUCUUUAACGUCAGUGGAAUCACAGAGAUCACUUAUAACCUUGCAUGUUAAGUAAAGCAAUUAAUUGCACUACUGCACCAGGUUUAGACAUGAAAGGCAGACUUAAUAACAGGUUUAAAGAAAAGGCUUAGAGUAGGGGUUCAGAAUGCAGAAUAAGGGUUAGUGACAGCUAAUACCAGCCUGUAUAUAGAGAGCAAGGUUAAUAGUUGGCUUAAAGAUUGCUCAGAUCAAUAAAAGAACAGCACAAUGUACAUAAUAAUAUUUGUUUCCAUCAGUGUUUUGAUGGAAACAAGUGGCAGAAGCACCAAGACUGCCCCUUCAUUUAAAGCAUGGUUUACAUGUGCAUGCUGGCUGCCAGACUGGAAACAUCCACUUCUGGCCUCGUCUCGGGGGGCUUCCCAUGCAGCUGGUAGAGAGCAUGGGAUGCAUUUCACAUCAGACUACAAAGGCAUCUGUGGAGCCUGGCUGUGACAAGGUAUCCUCCAACCAGACAUCAGUGCGGGGUGGGAAUGGCCCCGUACUGCCAAGACACGGAGGGUCUGGAGCCUGGGGUGGACUGAAGAAAUGGGGUCUGGGUUAACAGCAUGGCUGGAGUAACUGGUGAGUACAAUAGGGCACAUAACACUUUUUGCAGAGGUCUGAAGGUGAACUGACAUACAGCUCUCAUUUUCAAGGAACAUGGGAGGCCUAUUUUGCUUAUUGCUGAAAGAAAUGUAAGAAUGUUUGAAUUUGAGGCGCCUCAAUACCUUUUUAAUACCUUUGUUCUUAGCGUUCUUAACACCUGCUUAGAGCGAGCAGAAGUGGAGGUUGGCAGGGAAAAAUUAGCAAUUGCCCACCCAUCAUUCAUUUCCCAGGCUGUUCCCAGGGCACAGCAAUUAUGCACUUCACCUCACUCAGGACAGGCUGUAAAAUCUCGGUAUUGUCCUUAAGUGCUAAAUCAAAGCAAGCAAAAAACGGUAAGUAAAUGUUUCCCACGCAACUGCUGCCCUUUGUAAGAAAACUAUUGAACUGAAAAUGAAAGGCAUCCAUAGGUACAUAACCAACGUUUCUAAUUUUACUUGCAGUGAUCCAAGGCGCUGUUUAAACAGCGAUGCUAUUACAGAUUUACUUAGCUGGUUUCUUUCUGAGUGCACCAGAACCCUGAUCCUUGCAACAAAGAAUGCCAAACAAAGCAGCAUUAGGCAAGUUACUGUGAAACGAAGGCAUAUUUGCACAGCAAUAGAAAGAUCUAAAUGGGACCAUAACGAGCAACCAAAUAGUAACGCAGUUGAGGGCAUUGCUUUGUAGGAAACAAGUGGCUAUUCUGAACCCUGAAGUGCCAAAUGUACUGAAUCACAAGAGCUCACUAAAAUGAGAGCAAACAUCUCAAUCCCUUCUGAGUAUGUACAAAUAUCAAAGCGAUUUGGGGCUGUUAACCUCCUCAGCUCGGUGACGGUAUCUUCACCAUCAGCGCACAGCACUUCCCUGUUCACAAACUGUCCGUAUAAUGGUUCGGUUUGACUGCAGCGCAAUGCAUGACUGAGGGGACGUUAAUAUCGAACAACUCUGAGUAGCUCAUCACCAAGGAUGAUUUAAAUAAAACAGAAAGUAAAGAAAGCAACACUACCCUUUGUAUCUGACAAUGUAGAGGGCGAAGUCGUGCCCAAAAUAUUUGGAUUUUUGUUUUCACAUGGAUUCCAUUGCUCCCACCUUCCUAAAGAGCCGAACAGUUUUAAGUGUACCUCCUUUGUUUCUGCUGCUCUGUCCUCUCUAGUUCCAAAGCUACAGCUGAAGUGCAUCCAUUCCCCCUCCCCUGCUCUGGCAUCCCAGCAGGACGGCAGCCAGGUCUCCUCCUGUAUGCCUCACCGUGUCAGCUCAAUUCCUCCCCCUAGAAACUGCCUUCCAGUUUUCUGAAUGUUUGGGGACACAGAUAAAUUGUAAAGUGGUCAUGGAAAUAUAAGAAGCAAAGAUAUCUUUCUUUCCAGAUUAGAUAAUUAUCCACUGAGAGAGGAAAUAGCAACAACAAAACGGCUUCAAAUUCUUCUGAACAUAAUUGAGUCUUUUAAGAAAUACCCCAACACCUAAACAGCCAUUCCUUUACUUGGAGGAGGGGAAAAUGCCAUAAAGCUUAAGGAGCAUUUUGUUCGGGAAAUCACAUCUUUCCCUAUUUUGCAGCUGACACAUUGCAUUGCAGAUCUGUCACAGCACAUUACCUCGGUGAUGUAACGUAACGCAACACUGCUGAUGCGACCCAAUCCGAUGUGUCCAACGUGAUACAUCAGCUACAAUAUCUGAAAAGCUUUUUUUCUGAAAACAACCUGUAUAGAAGGGACUCCUCUUUACCAAUUAAAAAAAAAAAGCCUUCCCAAAGAAUUGCAUCACCGGGAGAUAAUUGCUUUUUCACAGGUAAUUAGCAAAUACAAUUAGUUGUGGGAAAAGUUUGCUUUUCAGCAAUUCACACCAAAAAAAAAAAAAUGGUGAACAAAAGAUGACUGUGGCUGACAAAUAACCGCUUCCCAUGGCACCAGCUGAACCCACCCGAGUAGCAGCGGUUACAGGCUCAGAUCACACCACCACCGGACUCACUUUCUGUUCCCCACCAACACUCAGAGGAUAACCAGAAGUUCACCUUGUGAACUCUUCACAAACUGUCUGGCAGCUGAUUUUGCUCACCUGUGCAGUCGAUGUUAAUCACAGAAUCAAACAAAGAUACACCUCUCAGCACACGCCAUGGGAAGCUCUGCAGAUGCUUUGAGGACUACCUGCAGUCCUGCAGAGAAUUGCUGGAUUUUCACAGACAGGAGGACACGGUCCAUGUCACCAUGAUCAGAUGAAUACUAAGGAUCAAUGGCCUUAAAUAUUCUACUGGAGUGGCAGUGGUAUUUGUCAGCAGAGGAGACUUCAGCUCAAGCAAAUGACACCUUACCGCAUUGAUGGCAGCCAUCCAGAAAGCAACAACCACCCCUCCUCCCUCUAUCACUUGUUGGAGGGCAAAUGAAAGCUAACCUCACAGAACAGCCUGGGUUGGUGGAGGGCAUCCCAAAGAGCACCCAGUUCCAACCCCUGCCAUGGGCACGGCCUGCCAACCACUCCAUCCAUCACUCAGUCCCCUCAAACUGCCAGUGGCUGCUAUGGAGGGCUUCAGAGGCAGAAGCAGCCAUCCCCCCACGGCGCUCCCUUUCCCUUCCCCACCCAGCGCUCCAUGUGCAGGCUGCCAGCAGCAGGACUGGGGCGCAGACAGGGCGCCAGGCCCUUCCACUCACUGCUUAGACUGAUUUUUCAAGUGUAAAAUGUAAUUCAAAUCUCCAUAAAAAGCUAUUUGCUCCCUAGCCUCGCAAUUCUUACACCACGUUUCAACCGUGAAAUCCAAUUGGAAAAAAAAAAGAAGCCUUAUGUUCAAGGUCUGAAAAUCCUGCAAGAGCCUUUAGCUCUCAGACUGAAUUGUAUCUUAAACGCCAUCUGACCAGUUCUGUCUCUUUCCUCUGAUGGGAUGGCGUGGUGCCUGGUCUCUAAAUGCCUGAUCCUGAUUGCUGGGCACCCCCCAGACCUAAAUUCAGGUACUCGUGGGCUAUGUGUCCCUCCACAAAGCUGUUCUAACAACAGAAUCCAAGCUGAGCUUUCUCAAGUUUGAAAAUAUGGCCCAAAAUGCAACUGUGCAAAUUAAUCUCUGAAAUUCAGAGCCCAUGCUGCCCAGCUGUGAACGCCGCAGUAUCACAGCCCCCUCUGUACCAUACACACACAUAUUUCCAGCCCUUCCAGAUGCACUGCUGCUCUCCAUGCUGAGGCAAUUCAGCAGAGAGCACAAAUCCUGAUGCAUCUAUUGCAUGCCCUGGACUAUUCCCCCCCCCCCCCCCCCCCCCCCUCACUGAUGUAUAUCUGGAUACUCCAGACCUCUUGAAUAUAAAAACUCAUCACAGCACUCUGGAACACAGGUUGAUACCUCAGCUGAUACACACCAGUCAGACAAUUCAGGAGCUUUCACCAGUUCAAACAUUUUCUGAAUCAGGAACUUUCAGUGGGGUCCAAGUACGGUAACAGCACAGGGUUGCCAGCAGCCCAAGUUCUAACCCAGAAAUAGAUAAAGCUUUGAAUUGACACAACUUCUAAUCCCUUAGUUAACAUGAGUUAUAGGAAUCAACACUGAAUUAUAGGAAACAACACAAUGAUUUCUAUUUGCACACACGUUCUGCUCCAAUGCCAUAAAUCAUAACCACAACCUCCACUGGGCUUUCUACAGGCACAGAAAUAGGCAAAAAUCAUUCAUCUUUCAUUAAACACAAGAGAAGUUUCUGGCUUUUAUGAUGAUAACACAAAGCCUGCAAAUACAAUCUGUAUGUAUUCUACAGGCUCAGAAUGAGCCUCGUUAUCAGUGUAUCAUUAGCUACAGAUUGUCCCCUUGUCAAUAGGAUGUGAGAUGUUUCUGAAGAGCCCCGAAGUGAUGUGUGCCACACAUGUGAAUUGCUCCAUACACCCAACCCAGCACAACGUGCCACCUGACCGCGUUAAGCUCGCAGAAGAUAGAAAUCAGAAGAGCUUUUUCCAAACCAAACCUCCCUCUGGGUUCUCUCCUGACCUCUGGGUGUGAAGGCAUACGGCUCUCAAAAGGCAUUCUGGAACUUCCAGCCAUCCCUUAUAUCACACAUCUUUUGCUUUCUGCUGUUAUGACACCCAGCCCAUGGGACCCUGUGCUUCUGGGUGAAAUCGGCCACCCCAUUGGAAAGCCAUCAUGCAGUGGCAAUUAUUUCUCUGUGAGCACUAUUCACCCAAUAUCCUGCUUUCUGUUGGAAGAAAUGUUGGCCCGGGUGCCUGACUUCUAACGAAGAACACUUCAUUAUAUCUCAGGGACUGGGAAACCUCAUCUGUAUCUAUUUAUGUAGCACACCUAUGGCUGUGGGAAGAAAAUACCUUUUUUCAAGUCAUGGGUUUUGUUCCAUGACAUGGCAGUUAUCUGCGGCAACAUCAGGUAACAGCACCACCUUCUGCCAACACGUUACCAUCUCUGUAGAAAACCAAUAGAUGCAUUUUCUCUCUGCGAUUUCAGUGGCUUUCUCAAACACUUCUGAUGCAGACAACAAAGUUCAGAGCAAAGCCCUAAGGGCUGUUUUGAAACACCCCAAGCUGUCUUACAGUAAUGAAAUUACUGUCAUGUAACCAACUUCAGAGGUGCAAUGAAUGCCCUGAGCUGGGCAACGCAACAGGGUGAGGCCGGCACUAUGAAACAGCCCUGGGAGGACAGCUGGGCACAUCUGUCUGAGUCUCUACAGGAAACUCACUCCCCAUCUCCGCAGUGUUUUACAUUGGUCCCCAGAGGUGCACAGAAGGGUACGGUACGUCCUACAGCUUUAGAUGAUUUAAGAUGCCUGAAAAUAAUCAUCUUUCUUUUUCUAUAGGUUCUCUUUGUCCUUAGCAGACAAUCUGGGACUGCCUUGCCUUCAGAUGUCCAAAUUUUAGGCAGUUGACUUUCAGAGAGAUGAACAUUACACAAUACACGUAUUUGCUUUUGAGAGCAAAACUGUGUUUUUACCUCAACAAACGCCCUAUUUUCCUGCCAAAUUCUUCCCUCUGUGUGGGACCAACGUGCACAUGGAGCCAAGGAACGCAGGAGAAAUGGUGUCAGCGGACACAGAGGUGAAGAAUAAGGUGCCAAUCAAUAAACCAGUAAUUAGCUCUGUUUGGCAGGUUGGGGGUGUUUGGGUUUUGGUAUUUUGCUGUUGCGUUUUUUUUUUUCCUGCUGGUUUUGAAAGAAGUUUGCUUAUCUAAGUUUUAUAACCACUUAAAUGAAUCCCAGCUCUGUUCAAAUCAAUGAAAGCUUUUGCGAGACAGCUGUAAUUUUAUGUGCAUGUGUUUCAGUAAAUUAGAGGGUUUAGCCUUAAGGAUUCACUUUAGUGUAAUCUACUAAAAAGAUAAGUAGAGCCAGAUGCAGUGUCUUACAACCGCUGGACAGUCGCAACUGGAGCGACAGCACUGACAGCAACUUUAUGGCUUUCCUCAUAGGGAGCAGAUUUCCUGACUCAAAAAGAGCAGUAUUUUACAUAAAUAGUUGUCAAUAUUUUGUAUUUACGAUGCAAAGAAAGAAGGG
rnacentral:lncRNA from 1 species